AUUAAAAGUUUUCCUUUAUCCUAGAGGAGGGUAACUGCUAAUGCGCAUUCUAUAAGGGCCCUGCUGAGUGUGCUUUUAAACCCAGAUGAAUUUGCACUAGAAAUAUUACCGGAAAUGCUGGCAAAUUAUUUUUUAGCUUAGGGCAGGGACUGUGAACACUCUGGACUGGUGCAGACUGUGGGAUAAGAAUACUUCCUUUUAAAAGCAACUGAUCUGCAGCGGCUGUUCUGCUGAGGUUACACAGAUGACAGUUAAGGAUCCCAGUCAUCCCAGUCUACGCAAGGUUUUCUCUGUAAUAACUCAGCUGUCUGCCCAAGCUCAGCCUCUUGUGACAGGUUUCUGUGAAUGGGACGAUGGGAAAAAACCAAAACAAACCAAACCAAAAAAAAAACCAAAAAAGAAAACCCAAACCUGCAAGCGCAACUGCUUGAAUAGUUUUAGCGAUUGAAAUAUCCGAGAACCUAAGUCCAAGUGCCCUCUACUGGCAUUAGAGAGGCAGAUGUGGCUGGGCGAGGAGGAGGCGUUGCAGAAGGAGGAGGGAAGUGAUAUUAAGCAAUAGUAAAAGGAAGCUGUGUCAAUAAAGUGGGUACGGCCUGAAAACUAUAAUCGCACAGCAGAGCUAUUAAACUGUUGGCAGGCUGGGUUGUUAGUGUAAUGUACAGUACAUGCCAAAAAGCAUAUUACUGGCAUGAAAGAACUAACAAGCCAGGAUGUUGAAACAACUUCUGUUUUAGGGAUGGGGAAGGGGAGAUAAUGAAACUCUUUAAUGUAAGAUUAUGUCUGUACUCCUGGUACAGAAGAUGUCUUUUUUACUUUAAUUAUUCUUGGCUUUUAAAUUUCAUACUGAAAAAAAAAUGGAGUUAAGGAAGAAAACCUUUCGGUUCUUUUAGUACUUAAUGUCUUUAUUUUAAAGCUGAGAAAACCAGUUGUGCAACACUGACAUUAUCACAUGAAUCUAGUCCUGGAAGAAAUUAUAUCAUGUGUGCUUAUGGGAACUUAAUCCAGGAGGUCCCAGGAAUGCUGGGAUUGUAUGUGUGUACAUGCACGCACACACACACUGACAAAACAGUUCAUGGAAAAUCUGUUUCAGACAGUCAUUUUUGGAUAGAACAACUCAUUCUUGCCCUGCAAGGAAAGCAGUGUGUACAGUUUUAUUGGUACCACUGUGCUGACAUUUAGUGAAUUUGCAAGAUCAAGAAGUACUUUGUAGUGUACACUUGUAGGGCGUACAGAUUUUACUGGGCUCAGUAAUCCACAGGAUCUUAUCGACUGCCUCAAUAAAAGUUGAAACAACCCUAACGUUAUUGCAGACAAACAGAUUAACUGCAGUAGAACGGGAGGGCUACUUAAGAAAAGAGACUUUAACAGAAAUUCAAGUGCAAACUCUGGUAAACCAAUGGUUAAAAAUAUAUGUAAUUCUGGGAAAGUGCUUUUCAAAUCCUGUAAUAAGAGCAGUGACUUUUUUACUGAAGAGAGCAUGUCAAGAAUGGAGAGUCAUGCAGCAUUCACAAGACACAAAGGCGCUGGGGUAGCAAGCCCAGAACAGGAGAGCUGGACGGAGAUGGGAUUCAGCUGCCGCAUGAGGAAGCAACUUGGGGAAGUGACAAUUUUGUCUGUUUUUCUGCCAGGAAGGCAGGGGAGGAGCCUGCUCUGUACAGGCUGAAUAAAGCUGGAUGGGAUUGCGAUUACUCACUGGAAGAUUGAUGUGACUAUUCCAAAUAUGUGUACAGUGUCCUUUUCCCCCUGCUGUGUCCAGAAUCUGUUUCAGAAAUGCCAUAUUCCAAGUGUUUCAGUAAGUAGCUGCAAUAUUUACCCCACUGGGAGAGGACGAGCGCCACUCCAGAUUUGCAGCAUUGCCUGUUCUGUAUUCUGUGAUUCUGCUAAAUUCACUUUAGGAACUAACACUACAGUCUCACAAAGAGUCAACUGGAGGAAGUAAAUGCAAAAUAAAUGAGAAGGUUGAAAGCAUGCUAAUAAUGUCAAUUUGGGGUGACCUUCACAAUGUCUCACCACCAAAGAAUCAGCAUUCAUGAAAGGUUAAGUUCGUUGAGAAGCUACAAGCCAAAUAGCCCAAAAUUGAAGCAUGCAUAAUCAUUAGUUGCUUAGGAAAUUCUUGGCAAAUGUGUGUACAUAAGAACAAAGAUACAUCUGUGAACAAAAACUUAAGGAACACUUUCUGCAAAACCCUAAAUACUAUUUCCAUCCUAGAGUAUAGACAUUUACAAGUAAUUCUGCCAGUAACCAGUAGUAAUUUUAGUACAAUGUUUGCUUCCAAGUACUUGAAAGCACCUACUCUUGUGUAAUGGACUAGGAAUAGUAACUACCAUCUUUACUCUGUCUACAGCAAUUACUUUUAGGUUUUUUCUCUUGAAGCUAGAAAAAUGAAGCACAGACUUGAUGAAAGAGACUAAAUUUUUCAAAAUUAUUCUACUUUUAGCAUAUGGUUUAAUUUCAGUUUUUGCCAAGCUAGAACAAUAUACUUUACAGGAGACAAAAUGAUGAAUGCUUAAUUUUGGGUUCAGUUAAAACAAACAACUUUCUCUAAAAGCACAUGCUUUGUUUCAAAGUGACAUCUGUUAAAAGCCUCAGUAUCCAUAUUAUAUUACAUCACUGUAGGUCAGCUAUCAUGACUGACACAGUGACAUGGGGCAAUGAAAGAAGGCAGAUUUGCUUUAACCCUCACCACGCCACGUCUCCUGCAUGCUCUAAUCAUACCACAGACUUUUGGCUCCUUUUGUACUGUCUCUAAACCUCUUUGCAACA